UUUAAGAACAAAUGAUUACCAAGUUAAAGAGAUCUUUUUUUUCCUGGCAACCACUGAGGUGCUCAACACUCUGCAUCCGCAAACACUUAUAUCAUGCUUAGUAUUUCAUACUAGUCAAAUUAUUUAGGGGAAAAAGUCAAUGCAUCAUGACAUCUAUUUUCCCUCUUGAGGUGAUUGUUCUUCAAGAUGAACGUGAUAUUAAUUAAGUCUUAUGAUUGGGCACUAAAGCACAAUCGAAGGGAAAAUAACAAUCAACGAUCAACUAAGGAAAAUGGCAUCAUCUUUUUACCACGGUAGCCCUACAAUUGAGGAUCAACAUGAGAUCAACUCCUCAAUUCGAUGCCAAUGUGGUAUGUUAGCAAAAAGUAUGACUUCAUGGACGCAAUCAAACCCUGGAAGACGAUUUUAUGCGUGCCAUAAUUCAUUGGAUAAAAUAAAAAGGUGUGGUUUCUUUCGUUGGAUUGACCCUGAGUUGCCUAACAAACGAUACAAAGCCAUCAUGUAUUAUCUACAUAUGAAAUUAAAGUCAACAGAAAAGUAGAUAACUUGAAAGCUUUAAGAGUUAAAGCAACAGAAAGUAAAACAAUGAUGGUUAAAUGUAUACCAGAGAGGGUGGAUGCAAGGUUGUUGUAGACAAAGUUUAUGAAUUAUUUAGUUUUAAUUUUCAAUGUAGUUUUAAUGGGGAUUGUGGUUAUGUAAUCAGUUUUAUGGUAAUGGUGAUAUACUAUUUUUUUAUGUUAAAUGACAAUGUACUUUGUGUCGAUGGUAA